rnacentral:ncRNA from 1 species
ACGAGGAAGAGCAUAGCAAACGACGAAAUGCUUAGGGGAGUUGAAAAUAUGCAUAGAUUCGGAUAUUCCUGAAUGGGUCAACCUUUCGAACUGCUGCUGAAUCCAUGGGCAGGCACGAGACAACCUGGCGAACGGAAACAUCUUAGUAGCCAGAGGAAAAGAAAGCAAAAGCAAUUCCCGUAGUAGCGGCGAGCGAAAUGGGAGCAGUCUAAACUGUGAAAAUGGGGUUGUGGGAGAGCAAUACACGCGUGAUACUACUAGGUGAAGUGCUUGAGUACUGCAUCCUAGAUGGCGAGAGUCCAGUAAAUCAUCAAGUGAAAGAGCUCCAAAGAAAAAAGUAGUAGUAAAGGACGAAGAGGUUAAA